AGUAUUCAUUUCAUGAAGCUCGACAAUUGGGUGCCAAGUGAAAUUACGUAAUUUAAAACAAUGAAAUUGAUCGCAUUAAUUAUUUUCGCCUUACUCGGUCUGGGCUGGAGCAAUGCCGCUGCUGCAGGUAAAAGAGAUAAUCAACCAUCGUUAGUACAGCCAGGCAUGUGUUUAGCGGAUUGGUUUCGUACACGCGUUCCAAUUAAAAUCCCGGCGGAUGGGUCAGAAAAGAAGAAUACCAACUUUACUGGAAUGUAUUUAAUUAACUCAAUUAAUAAUAAUAAAUAAAAAAAUUGUGUAAUGUAAA